rnacentral:rRNA from 1 species
CCUACGGGAGGCUGCAGUGAGGAAUAUUGGUCAAUGGACGAGAGUCUGAACCAGCCAAGUAGCGUGAAGGAUGACUGCCCUAUGGAUUGUAAACUUCUUUUAUAUGGGAAUAAAAUGUUCCACGUGUGGGAUUUUGUAUGUACCAUAUGAAUAAGGAUCGGCUAACUCCGUGCCAGCAGCCGCGGUAAUACGGAGGAUCCGAGCGUUAUCCGGAUUUAUUGGGUUUAAAGGGAGCGUAGGUGGAUUGUUAAGUCAGUUGUGAAAGUUUGCGGCUCAACCGUAAAAUUGCAGUUGAAACUGGCAGUCUUGAGUACAGUAGAGGUGGGCGGAAUUCGUGGUGUAGCGGUGAAAUGCUUAGAUAUCACGAAGAACUCCGAUUGCGAAGGCAGUUCACUGGACUGCAACUGACACUGAGGCUCGAAAGUGUGGGUAUCAAACAGGAUUAGAUACCCGUGUAGUC